UAACAUGUUUCCAAGGGCUAUGGCUGGUUGUGGCCAUGGGGUCUCCAACUGCAUGCAGAGAAACUGGAGGGACUUUGACAGCCCAGGCUAGCAUAGUGCCUGCAGCUGCCACUCGGCUUUCCUCUAUAU
rnacentral:snoRNA from 1 species